GGGGUUGUGGCUCAAUGGUAGAGCACUUGCCUAGCAUGUGUGAGGCACUGGGUUCAAUUCUCAGCACCA
rfam:Ictidomys tridecemlineatus contig029268, whole genome shotgun sequence.